CCCGAUAGCUCAGCGGUAGAGUAGGUGACUGUUAAUCACUUGGUCGUUGGUUCGAAUCCAAC
rnacentral:tRNA from 1 species